GGUUUGAUUAUGACUCCUUUAAAAUUACUCUUUGGAAAUCUGAACCAAGUGAAUGAGAAUUCAAUACAUUCUUCUAUUAGAUGAGUUCC